UUUGGAAUGGGGUACUUUUGUUGUCUAUUGGGUGCCACAAGCUUUAAUACUAUUUGUUGCUAUGGUAAAUACAAAAAACUAAGCUUGGUGGCUAGAGAGUAGUAAUAAUUAUAAGAAUUUUGUUGUUAUUUUUCAUGAUUAAUUUUACAUCUCAUUCUUAGAUGUGUUUCUAGGUUGGUUGAUAUGGAUUCUAUAGCAUAGCCAUACCAACAUCGCUCACUUUUAACUUAAUUUUACACAUUUUUUUACAUGUUUAAUUUUGCACCUUUAUUUUGAUAUUAAUAAAGUAUAGAUAGAUGUAAUUGGUCCUCUAAUAAUUACUAACUGAAUCAUUUUAACUUAAAACACUUCAAUAAUAGCCCUAAAAUGGGCCUUUAAAUUCUUCUAAUCAAUUAAAAGGGCAUUUGGAAGUUGGAACCACCUAACAGGAACAAUGCAUACCAAAUUCUUAUGGAAUCUCCUUCUCGUCGAGUUCUUAACUUCAUAGUUCACAUCUUUUUAUGGAGAUAUUGAUGACUUAGUGUAACUAUCAGUUUAUGACUUAGUGUAAUUAUCAGUUUUUGAAUCAGCUUAAAAAAUUAAGAAACCCUUUCUCUCAUAUUAUCUUUUGUUUACUACUACUACUAAUAAUAAUAAUUAUAAUAAAUAUGAUUAUUAAUUAAUAUUAAAUAAAUAUUUCUUUAACAUCUUUUUUUUUAGUAUUUCUCAAGGUAUGAUUAAUAAGGAAUUUAUACAUUUUUAUUAAUUAGAAUAUUUUAAAAAUAUUGAUCUUUUUGGUAAACAAUUUUCACAUAAAGCCUUGCUUUUUGUUAAAGUUUUUCGACUUAAUAGCAACAAUAUUAUUUCAUUAAAACUAUCAUCUUGUUUAUAAGGUAAUAUCAAGUUUGACAAUGGUUAGAAAGAGUUCUGCAAAGCAUACAAGUUGGAACAAUUAUUUGUUACAUUAUCAAGGGUCAAAUAAAAAAAGAGGUAUUAUAAUUCUUAAUCAAAUAAAAAAAGCACUAUAAUGCUUAUUCAAAACAAUAGUUUGAUGCCCAACAGCAGUACUAUAAAGUUUAAAUGUAGUAUUUAACAGAGGUCUUUAAUAAUAUUGCAUGAUGUGAUACUUAGCUUUAUUUAUUUUUGUUCACAUACAGCGACAAUGCACGAUAUAUUUUGUCAUUUUUUCAUAAUUAUAUAAGCAUAUUUCUUUGAAGUAAUGAAGAUAGAUGGUUAAAUCCUUUUUUUUAUGGAUUACGGUAGUUGGUUAACAUAUUUUUAUUUAAAUCACAAACUCAAAUUUCAUUCUCAUCUUCCUUCUGAUUUGAUACUUAUGCCAAUCUUUUAUAAUAUUUUUGGUAUCUUGCGACUCUUUUGAAUAAAAGUUAUAUACAUAUAGUUUGUGAAAUUACUUUUCACUUUGUUCGUGUCUUUUAGUAAGUGCUUUGAAUCUAAAUAUCAUGGUUUUAGACCUUUUUUCAAUAAAAAAAAAUAAUAACUGAUAAUAAGAAGUAAUCUUCUUAAGAACAUACCCUAUUAGUUUUGAUGUGUCAGAAUAUUUACUCUUCGUUUUUAAAGAAAAAAAUUGAUAAAAAUUAAUCUCAUGUUUAUAUGUCCAAGUAGUCAUAUUGAAGAUUAAAAAAGGAUAAUCAUUUUCAUCUUAUAGCAAUUUUGUUUGAUUGAAUAUGAUUAUUUAUUUUUAUUAUUUUUUAUUUGAAACUGUUUUUAAGAAUUUGAGUUUUUGAUNNNNNNNNNNNNNNNNNNNNNNNNNNNNNNNNNNNNNNNNNNNNNNNNNNNNNNNNNNNNNNNNNNNNNNNNNNNNNNNNNNNNNNNNNNNNNNNNNNNNNNNNNNNNNNNNNNNNNNNNNNNNNNNNNNNNNNNNNNNNNNNNNNNNNNNNNNNNNNNNNNNNNNNNNNNNNNNNNNNNNNNNNNNNNNNNNNNNNNNNNNNNNNNNNNNNNNNNNNNNNNNNNNNNNNNNNNNNNNNNNNNNNNNNNNNNNNNNNNNNNNNNNNNNNNNNNNNNNNNNNNNNNNNNNNNNNNNNNNNNNNNNNNNNNNNNNNNNNNNNNNNNNNNNNNNNNNNNNNNNNNNNNNNNNNNNNNNNNNNNNNNNNNNNNNNNNNNNNNNNNNNNNNNNNNNNNNNNNNNNNNNNNNNNNNNNNNNNNNNNNNNNNNNNNNNNNNNNNNNNNNNNNNNNNNNNNNNNNNNNNNNNNNNNNNNNNNNNNNNNNNNNNNNNNNNNNNNNNNNNNNNNNNNNNNNNNNNNNNNNNNNNNNNNNNNNNNNNNNNNNNNNNNNNNNNNNNNNNNNNNNNNNNNNNNNNNNNNNNNNNNNNNNNNNNNNNNNNNNNNNNNNNNNNNNNNNNNNNNNNNNNNNNNNNNNNNNNNNNNNNNNNNNNNNNNNNNNNNNNNNNNNNNNNNNNNNNNNNNNNNNNNNNNNNNNNNNNNNNNNNNNNNNNNNNNNNNNNNNNNNNNNNNNNNNNNNNNNNNNNNNNNNNNNNNNNNNNNNNNNNNNNNNNNNNNNNNNNNNNNNNNNNNNNNNNNNNNNNNNNNNNNNNNNNNNNNNNNNNNNNNNNNNNNNNNNNNNNNNNNNNNNNNNNNNNNNNNNNNNNNNNNNNNNNNNNNNNNNNNNNNNNNNNNNNNNNNNNNNNNNNNNNNNNNNNNNNNNNNNNNNNNNNNNNNNNNNNNNNNNNNNNNNNNNNNNNNNNNNNNNNNNNNNNNNNNNNNNNNNNNNNNNNNNNNNNNNNNNNNNNNNNNNNNNNNNNNNNNNNNNNNNNNNNNNNNNNNNNNNNNNNNNNNNNNNNNNNNNNNNNNNNNNNNNNNNNNNNNNNNNNNNNNNNNNNNNNNNNNNNNNNNNNNNNNNNNNNNNNNNNNNNNNNNNNNNNNNNNNNNNNNNNNNNNNNNNNNNNNNNNNNNNNNNNNNNNNNNNNNNNNNNNNNNNNNNNNNNNNNNNNNNNNNNNNNNNNNNNNNNNNNNNNNNNNNNNNNNNNNNNNNNNNNNNNNNNNNNNNNNNNNNNNNNNNNNNNNNNNNNNNNNNNNNNNNNNNNNNNNNNNNNNNNNNNNNNNNNNNNNNNNNNNNNNNNNNNNNNNNNNNNNNNNNNNNNNNNNNNNNNNNNNNNNNNNNNNNNNNNNNNNNNNNNNNNNNNNNNNNNNGGUUUUUUUUUUUUUUUUUUGUCUUAAAAAGGAGAAAAAUUAAAAAAGAACAAUGAAUUUAGUACAUAAGAGUUUUGAAACAAAUAUAAAAAUUAAAAAAUAAUGAAAAUUAUGGGAUUAUUCUGUAUAGUUUUCAUUAUUUGAAAAAAAAAAUAACUUUAUUAUUAUAAUGCAAAUUGAAUUGUAUUUUAGCUUUAGAUUUUUUUAGUAUUUGUGUUGAUUCGUAAACUUUUUUUUAUAUGAGACUUUAAUAUUAAAUUAUUUUGUUCACAACUUCAUUAUAUAAUUAUAUUAUAAUGUAUUUAUUAUAAUUAAGUCAUAUUUUUAUUUUAUUUUAUUUAUUUAUUUUUUAUUAUAGGCUGUUCUUGGACUGUAUGGGAUGACUGAUGCAGAGGCGAAACCAAUAUUAUUCUGCUCGUGCAAAGAUAAUUCAGUUCGUAUAUAUGAAUUGCCGACGUGAGUGACCAUCAAGCUUGCAUCUAGUUGUCUUGCAAUGUCUCUGUAUUAUAUCAUUCUUGUUUUUCUUGCUGUUGUAGCUACUUACUGUGCCUGUUUCUACAGGUUUUUAGAGAGAGGUCGACUGUUUACAAGACAAGAAGUUCAAUCCUUUGAGAUACUUCUCUAGUUAUUACUAAUUUUUUGUUUUGAUCAUAAUUUUCUUUCAUGCUCAUAUAGAAAUUGAAUUAACUAUGAUUUUGAAAUAACUAGUUGCCCACUCUAUGCAAAUUGCAAAACUUGGGUGGGCUGAAUGUACCAAAUCACCCUUGUGUGGGCCUUAGCAAAAAUAAAAAAGACGAUUUUUGUUACGAGGAAGAUAACCGUUAGUUUCAAAUUUGAAUUUAUAAAAAAAAGGAUUAUUUCUUUAUUUUAUUUUAUCGUAGAUGAUUAGAUCAACUGGGUGAGUUAACCGCGCCACACCCAAAUUCAAAUUUCACGCUCCAUCCACAACACAACGCAACACCCCGCUCUCUUCGUCUUCCCUUUCCCACAAACCCUAAGUUCCCAAAUUGACCCGACCAUUUCCGAAGCCAAACAUGGCUUCUCGAAACCAGAACAGGCCUCCUCGCAGCCCCUCUCACGUAAGUCCCCAUUUCCCCCCUUUCAUCUAAUUUCAGCAUCGAUUUCAUUCACUGAUAGUGAUAAUAAUUUUCGAAUCUAAGGCAAUUUCUUCUUCGGAUUUUUUUGUUUGUUUUAUUUUAGAAGAAGGUGGGUUCAGAAGAAUUAUUCUCGGAUAAGCGUCGAAGGAUCGGAGCUGACAAGAUGGAGAGACAAGGAGCCACUGGAGGUAGGAUAAGGACGCCAUUUUCCUCCGUUAACAACCGCACGGAUGCCGCAAGUGAGGCCGGAAGCGCCGAACCCUCUGAGUGUGAUACCAUUGAGUUCACCAAGGAGGACGUAGCGGCCUUGUUGAAUGAGAAGAUGAAGAAGGGGAAUCCUUAUGAUAAUAAGGUACUUUGACAAUCUUAAUGAAUUUGUGUUAUCUGGGCGGUGGAUCUUAUUUGGACAAUUUUUUUUUGCUGAAGUACUUAGGUGGUUGUUGUUAUGCUGGUGUUUUAGUUUCAUAGUGUUUUCCCAACUCGUUUUGCAGAAAAAGAUGGAGCAGAUGACUGACCUGAUAAAGCGGCUUAAGCUUUGCGUUCGCUGGUUUAAGAAAAUUGAAGAAGGAGAUGCCCAAGAAAAGCAGAGGCUUGGUUCUGAACUAGAGGCAGCUCAGAAGAAGUGCAAUGAUAUUGGUAUUGUGUUUCUCUCUUGACUAUGUGGACUUUUUCGGUGACAACUGAUAAGUUGAUUGGAUGUGUUGUUGAAAAUAUCUGAUUUUUGUUAAAUAUGUGGUUGAAUGCUAGCUUCUUUGAAUUAUACUAUUAUUACGCUGUGGCAUCCAAGAUGCAGAGUAUUAUCCGUGAAUAUGGAUGUCUUUCUUUAGUAUAACUGUCUAAUGAUUUCAAAUUCCUAACAAAAUUUGAUGUUGAAGAAAGCUUCAAUUUUCUACCUUGUUGCUUUGGCUGCUUUUUCUAAAAGUCUACAUAGUACUUACAUUUCCUUUGACAUGUUAUAAGAAAUUGAUACCAUUAGACCAACCAUUUAUUCAUUAAAUACUCAUGUUUUUCUCAGAGAUUGAGUUGAAGAAUAUGAUGGAGGAAUUGAACAAGAGAAUCUCUGAUUUAGAAGAGAGAAUUGCAAAGGAAGAAUCAGAUAAGUUGGUAAGAAUGCCUGGUUGAAUAUCCCAAUUGAAGAGUCUAUUUUUGCCCCUCUUGCCUAAUGGCCUAAGUUUUCUUGGAUUUAAAACCAGGAAGCAGAUAAUCGUUAUAGAGAAGAAAAGGAAGCAAGGAAUGCGGCUGAGAAAGUUUGUAAAGAGAAAUCCACUGAGCUUGAGCGGAUUCAGGGCGAGAAAUCAGCUGCUGAGCGAAAGGUAAUACUGUGCUAUAUUCUAGAAAAGAUAGUCAUUGAUAAACUGGUCAAAUAUGUCAGGCAAAAAUAUUUCUCUUGGGUUAUUCCUCACUUGAUUUAAUAAUGCUAGUCAGUUAUUUGAUUCCUGGUGAUUCCCUCAUUGUUAUUUAUUUAUCAUUUUUUCUUUGAAACUGUUGAGUUUUGCAGGCAAAUUCAAAUGAGGACUUGUACAAAAGAUCACAGGAGUACAAUAUGAGUCUGCAGCAGUACAAUAGUCGUCUUCAGUCAGAUCUUGAAGCAGCUAAGGAAGCACAGAGAAAACUUGAAACAGAGAAAGCAACUGCUGUUGAAAGCCUUAGUCUUGCUAGAGGUCACAAUAAGAUACUGCAGAAUGAGUUGGCGACUCUUAAAGUAAGUUUUUUCAGUCUGAUCUUUCUUUCUUUCACCUGCUAAUGCAGUUAUGCUGUUUUCUGUGCUGGCAUCGUUCUUCAUGAUGGCACUGGAAUUCAACUUGUACUCUGAUUCCUAACAUGUCAUAAAAUCUUAUUGUGAAAAUAGGAAAUACUUUUGAUUUGAGCAUUACGCUGUUACGUGCUUUUCAAUUAUUGGCAUUAGCUUCCAGUUGUUGUCUUUGUAUAGCAUUCUAAAGUUUGUUCACUCCCUUUUUCAUAUUUGGUUUUUCAGGCUUCACAGAGUGAAGCUCUAAAUGAGAAAGAAAAAUUAGCAAAUGAACUAAAAUGUCUUCGUGAGGAGUUAAAACAAAUCAGAGAUGACCGUGAUUGUCAACAGAAGCAAGUAAAGAAUUUAACAGCAGAAGUAGCAAAGUACAAAGAAUUUACUGGGGAAUCAUGUAAACAAUUGGAUUCCUUGAUAGAUAAAACAAACGCCCUUGAGGUUUGUACAGAUUUCCAGCUUUGUAAUUUUUUAUCCUUUUUAUUAAUUAUGUGCACUCCUGUGACCAUAAGUCACAAUAUCAUAAUAGAGUGGGCUUUCUUUAUAGGAGACUUGUUCUUCUCAAAGGGAGAGAAUAUUCACACUCGAGCAGCACCUGGCAACUGAAAGGGAGAAGUUAAAGGUAAGGCAAUUGACUUAUAUGUAUCACAUAUUCUUACCUUUGUGGCUUUGCUAAAAUUUUAUCGGAAAUAAUUAAAUGGUAUUUAUAUAUAUAGUCCUCAUUUGAUUACUAGAUUUGAUGCUAACAUCUAUUUUAUUUCUUUUAGAUGGCUGAUAUGUCUGUAUCAGAAACAAGAACAGUGUUUGAAGAUCAGAAAAGAAUCAUACGUGAACUGCAGGAUAAAUUAGCAGAUAAAGAAUCUCAAAUAGUUGAAGGAGAUAAGCUGAGGAAAAAACUUCACAACACCAUUCUGGUAAUACUUUUUUGCCAAGUAAUUGGUAUCAUCUCCACAUUCCCUCUUCAGUUGUGAGGCAAUAUAUUCUAACCAAUGGUCAUUAUUCUAAUUUUCAAAUUGUAGGAGCUAAAAGGAAAUAUUCGCGUGUUCUGCCGGGUGAGACCUUUGCUACCAGAUGACGGCACAGGAACUGAUAUGGUCGUUUCUUACCCUACAUCAACAGAAUCACUUGGCCGGGGAAUUGAAUUGGUUCAAAAUGGUAUAUGCUCAAAUUUCUUUGCACCAUUCUCUCUGUUAUGAUUUUCACUUAGUGUCUAUGCUUGCCAAACAAGUAUAACAAUGCCAUCGUUGAUGAUCAACAGGGCAGAAGUACCCUUUUACAUUUGACAAGGUGUUUAAUCACGACGCUUCUCAGAAUGACGUAUUCCUAGAGAUAUCCCAGCUGGUGCAGAGUGCACUUGAUGGAUACAAGGUUGAUUUUUUACUUUGACAUGUCAUACUCAACACUUAUCUUUUCUUUUUGGUACAAACUGCAUUGACAAGAGGAUCAUGGCUUGUUAUGGCAGGUGUGUAUCUUUGCGUAUGGGCAAACGGGUUCAGGCAAAACUUAUACAAUGAUGGGCAGGCCUGAUGCUCCAGAUUUGAAAGGGUUGAUACCACGUUCUCUGGAACAGAUAUUCCAGACAAGCCAAUCUCUGAAAGAUCAGGGUUGGAAGUACAAAAUGCAGGUUGGUACCUAGUAUACUUCGUCCUGGUUUUCAUGUGGUUAUACCUAUGAAUGGGAGCUGAAAUAUUUUGUUAACAUUUGUAGGCAUCAAUCUUGGAAAUAUAUAAUGAGACCAUCCGGGAUUUGUUAUCAAAUAGGCCAUGUGGGAUUGACCAGACACGAACAGACAAUGGUGUUUCUGGCAAGCAGUACAAUAUUAAACAUGAUGCAAACGGAAACACACACGUUUCUGACCUAACCAUUGUGGAUGUUUGUAGCGUGAACGAGAUUUCCUCACUCCUAAAACAGGCUGCCCAAUGCAGGUAUGGUUUGGUUUAUAUAUGUUGGAUCCUCCAAUAUAAUGCAAGAACCUGUGUGCUCUUUCACAUGAAUUGCAAAUGAAAUAUUGUUCUCUUCCAAGUUCCAGCUACUCAUAUACAUAAUACAUUUUUGUUCUUGUUCUACAAUUUACUUAUAACUUAAGAUUUUUGUGCCCUCUUUCAGGUCUGUGGGAAGGACACAGAUGAAUGAGCAUUCAUCUAGAAGCCAUUUUGUCUUCACUUUGCGUAUUUGUGGGAUAAAUGAGGUACUUGACUCCUAAUACACAUUGAUAAAACUUUUAUUUUUCAUUCUGAGACACACUUCUAAAUCUUUGUACUGUUUUUUUGUCUUAAUACUUUAUUUUCUGAUGCGUGUAGAAUACUGAACAACAAGUACAAGGUGUCUUAAAUCUGAUUGAUCUUGCUGGAAGUGAAAGACUUUCAAGGAGUGGGGCAACUGGGGACCGGUUGAAGGAAACUCAGGUAUCAAUUUGAUUUGCAUUGUUCAACAAAACAGUAAUUAAUGCUUGUAAUAAAAAAGAGAUAGUAACUAAUUUUGUUUUGCUGCAACAUUCAGGCUAUCAAUAAAAGUCUAUCAUCUUUGAGUGAUGUAAUAUUCGCUUUGGCAAAGAAAGAAGAGCAUGUUCCUUUCAGGAAUUCAAAACUUACAUACCUUCUUCAGGUAUGAUUCUUAAAUUUGUUACAUACUACAUAGAUGUCCAUACUACUUAAAUUUCUAUGUUCUAUGUCCAUACUACAUAGGUAUGAUUCUUAAAUUUGUUACAUGCUACUUAACUUUCUAUGUUGUAUCCAUGUGCAUUUGCAGCCAUGUCUUGCUGGUGAUUCAAAAACAUUGAUGUUUGUCAACAUUGCACCUGAUCAAUCAUCAACCAGCGAGUCGCUUUGCUCGCUUCGUUUCGCAGCCAGAGUCAAUGCGUGUGAAAUCGGGGUUCCAAGGCGUCAAACUCAGACAGCCACAUAUCAUCCAUAACCCAAAAAUAAAACUGUUAUUUAUAUAUUAGUGUUUGGAAAAAAAAAUGCUAUUCUUUCAUGGUGCUUUGAUAGAUGUAAGAGUGUAACAUUUUAGAGAAAUGGGGCUUGUGUAGUUUGUUUGUAAAGAGGCUUAGAUUUAGCCUCCAAAAGAAAGUACUAAUGAUUUGUAUCAUUUAGCUGACCAUAAUAGUCACCUUUUCAUUAUUUUAGCAGUGUUGACCAUUCUUAAAAUAAAACUUUCAUCCUGUGAAUUGUUCUUGAGGGAAAGCUCUACAUAGAACAACACAAAUCCUUACUCCUUUUCUUCUGCCUCUUUUUUUCUAAGAGGGAUGAAACUUCGUUUUGAAGAAAAUUGUGAAUAAAUAAAGGAAUACGGAUGAUAGGAAAAUAAGAAAUAAAUAAAUACUAAGGCAUGAACUUGUGUAUAUUAAUAGAGUUGAAUUUGAGUAACUGUCAAUUCCGUGAGCAUUUUUAGUAAAAGUAUUUAAUCUAAAGAAAUAUUCCUUCCAUUAAGAUUAAGAUUAUUAAAAUGAAUAACAAUUUCUAGUCUUUUAACAUUUUAUAAAAAUAUGUAUAAAGCCUGUUAAGACUUGUUAACAUGAAUAACCUAUAAGAAAUAAUUGAAUGUUAGAAUUUAAAAAGAAAUAUGACUAUUAACUUUUUUUUCCAAUUCAUUACUAAAAUUUAUAGCCUACUUUUAGGUAUCCCAACAUAAAAAGAUAAUAGUGAUAUGUGGGUAAAAUGGUAUCAAACGUCAAAGAACUGAAAUGAUAAUCAAUUUGAAAUAUAUGUUAACCUUAAAAAAUAAAAGAAUAUAAAAAGAAUAAGAGAAUCUGAGAUACCAUAUUCUGUUGUGAGCAACAGAACCGAGAAACGUAAAUUUUUCUAUUUCUUGAAUUUACUCAUCCCUUCUUUCUUAAUUGUGUUUAGGUACUGUACUCUCUUUUCUUCAAUAAGAAUUUCUCUAACGAAAUAAUGACAAAGUUACAUUCAUGUGAUUCAUCUUCCCGGAAGCUGUUAUAUGUUAUUGCACAUGGAUAUUACAUGUCAGAAUAUAAUAGCAGUCAAGCCUAUGCUACAUAUUAAUUUCACUCUCAUAAGCUUGGCUACAUUAUCUAUCUUAGUAAUUUGUUUCCGUGACUCUCAGUAAGUCCAAAAUUGCACUCCAUGUACCAUGUNNNNNNNNNNNNNNNNNNNNNNNNNNNNNNNNNNNNNNNNNNNNNNNNNNNNNNNNNNNNNNNNNNNNNNNNNNNNNNNNNNNNNNNNNNNNNNNNNNNNNNNNNNNNNNNNNNNNNNNNNNNNNNNNNNNNNNNNNNNNNNNNNNNNNNNNNNNNNNNNNNNNNNNNNNNNNNNNNNNNNNNNNNNNNNNNNNNNNNNNNNNNNNNNNNNNNNNNNNNNNNNNNNNNNNNNNNNNNNNNNNNNNNNNNNNNNNNNNNNNNNNNNNNNNNNNNNNNNNNNNNNNNNNNNNNNNNNNNNNNNNNNNNNNNNNNNNNNNNNNNNNNNNNNNNNNNNNNNNNNNNNNNNNNNUGUAAUUAAAAAAAAAAAAAACUAAGGUUAUAAAACUGAAAUUCAGCAUGGUUGGUUGAACCCCAUGUAUUUCCCUGACUUGUAGUCCUUCCAAAUAUCCAUGGCUCCAAAGCUAGUCAUUAGGACAUUGCUGAGUGUCAUCACUAAGCUAACAGAAAAUACUAUCAAGGAUGGUCUUCCAUAUUCUUUGAUUGCUCUAUGCAGCACUAAUAACCCAAGGAGUGAUGCAAUGAAACAUAUUAUGGCCAAUGUUACUGCUGUCUCUAUGUAUUCCAUUCCCAACAUUACAUAUUGCAAUGCUGACAUGGUAGAUGAGAAGAACACCAUGAAUGAGCAUGUUGCUGCUGUUACCUGCACAACCAAUAUAUUCGAAAUUAAAACUCCGAACUCAGAUUAAUCAUAAUUAAUGUCAUAAGUGAGAUUUACCUCAGGAGGUACUCCAACCUGAAUGAGAAGUGGACUUAUGAGCAUUCCACCACCAAUUCCAAAUACACCACCCAGCAUCCCUGCUAGUAGUGCCAUCACUGGAAAAAUCAUCUUAUUUGGUUGCCCACUUCUGCUUAGGCAUGGACCCUGCAUAAUCAAAUUUCAAGGGAAGUUGAGUAACUUAGUUGAAUAGAGAAGCUUCUAUUCUAAAUUCUAAUGUGAUGUUCACUAACUUCUUUUCUAAGCACAAUCCAGGCAGUGAAAACUAUAGCCAGAGGUACUUGAACUGAUGAGAGGAUCCAAAAUCCAACACCACAUGCCUCCAUUGGAAUUAUACUCUGCACAAUUUCACAAUUCAAAGUAUCUGAUUAAAUAAAUCUGCUAGAGCGAAAUUGCCUAUGGCUAUAAUAAAAAGAGUGAAAGAAACUGUUACCUGUCCAUAUUUAUUGCCACGAAGAAGAUAGAGGAAGAAGAAACAGAACCAGACUAAAAGCAACACCCCCACUUUCAACCAAGGGAUACCAAAUUUUCUAUUCUCUUCAGCAGCAAGAAGAGGCUCAAGACUCUUCAACCCUUCUUCAAUCUCUUGUUUGUUCUCCUGAACUAGCCUCUGGCCUUCUUCAUCAGCAGCAUUAUCCCCAUUCUCAACUCCCUCAAACCCUUUCUUCCUAAUCUCUUCUGACUCGGCCUUCCAAAGCAGUACCCCAUUGAUGCAAGUUUUUGAGGUACACCAAGUGAGAAAGAUGGCAAACAACAAAGUGAUCAACCAUUCUGGGAACACAAGGUUACAGAUAACUCCAAUGCUCACUCCCAGCAACAUACACGGUUCUGACAAGAGGGCUAUAUCAUAAUCAAUCAAUGAUUUGCCACCAAAUCUAGUACUAGUGGUGCAGAGGAGGUUGCAGAAAACGUUUGCAAUGGAGCCUCCAGUGACCAUGAAAGCAGAGAGAGACGAAGCUGUUUUGAGGUCUAAAGAAGCAACAAUGGUGAGUAUCGGUAUAAAGAGGCCACCACCACCGAUCCCACCAGCACUGGAUAUGGAAGAAGCCACGAAACAUAAGAGUGAUGCAAGAAGCAUGUGGCCUGAUAAAGGUACCUUGGCAUGUUCUUGUGAUCCAUUAUCAUCAUAGAUUUUCUCCACCGAACUUGUUUGUGAUUUUGCAGAGUUGAAGGCUACGAUGAAGAUGAGAAGGAAGCAUGAAAGAGAAGCGUGGUUCAUGAUUGGAAUCAGUGGUGUGUGGUUUCUGUGUUGUGGGGUUUAUAUAGUGACACAAUUAAAGGAAGAGGAAGCAUAUGAUAAAGAGUAUGAAUCCAAGUGAGUAAAAAACAAAUAAACAAUAUUGGACCGAAUUCUUUAAAUUAGUUAAAACAAGAUUUUGCUGUUAAGGAUAGUAUAAAUUAAUAUUAGCUAAUCUUUUUUUUAUCUUUAUCUUUUAGAAGAUUUAGAAUUUUUAAUUUAAGUCAAUGAUAACAACAAUGGAUGGCUGAUCAUAAAGGGUAAAAUUUUGAUAUUAAGAAUGGUGUUGGAAAGAAGAAAAAAAUAUGAAUUAAAAAAAUUAAUUUCUAAUUAAAGUAAAAAACCGUGGAACUUUUAUAUUACUCGAUUUUUUUUUUUUGGUGACUGAAAUAAAUUAAACAAAGAAAAACAAAAAAAACAAAACAAGGAACUGCUUAAAUAGAGGGACAGUCCCGUUUAAGACUACUCUUAAACUCCUCCCAAGGUGAAAGAAGCUCCACAUGCGAAAGUUGUAACUUCAUCGCCAUCUUUGCCAUAGUAUCUGCCACCGUGUUUGCAUCUCUCAUAAUCAAACGAAAGUCAACACGCCAAUUCCAAUGCAUGAUAUCUCUUAUUUUGAGCACCAGUGGAUCAAUAAACCCAAAACCAUCUUGAGUAACAAGAUUAAAUGCUUCCACACAAUCUGUCUCACAAAUAACAUCUCGUUGACCCACAUCCCAAGCUAAGAGAUAUCCUCUCCAAAUAGCAAACAAUUCUCCUUGAAGAAUACUAUUACUCUCAAUCAUUCCCAAACACCCCCUUUGCCAGCUCCCAUUACAAUCUCUAAUAACACAAGCAAAACCAACACUAUCACCCGAACCAAAAUAACUAGCAUCACAAUUAAUCUUAAAAGUACCAAUGGAUGGGGGAUUCCAAAAACCAUUUAGAGUAGAGGGAAGGGACAUACGUUGUAAUUCAAAAAUAUUUCUAAGCUCCUUUUCUGAAGUUAAUGCCAGACAAAUGACUUUUUCCGGUAUAUUACUCGAUUUGAUUCCGCACAUAAGUAGUGGUUUUGAUUUUUGAAUUCAAUUGUCGUAGGAAAUUAGGAUUUGUUAAAUGUCGAAAAAGAAAAAAUCUUUUACUUUCAUAUUAGAUAUUCCUUUUUUAAUUUAUUGAAUAAAAUAAAUAUGACCAGAAGACUAGAACGUAAGAGUAUUUCUAAUACUAGUUUUAAUUAUAAUUUUAUUUUAGAUUUUAUAANNNNNNNNNNNNNNNNNNNNNNNNNNNNNNNNNNNNNNNNNNNNNNNNNNNNNNNNNNNNNNNNNNNNNNNNNNNNNNNNNNNNNNNNNNAAAGUGUACCAUAUCUUUAAGAUAAUAUUGGUUUUAUUUCAUCAACUAACUUUAAUACAAACUUAAUUUUAAAUGAAUUCACUUUUUAAAAGUACCAAAAAUAAUACUCUAAAAAUAUUGCUCUAAAAGAUUAAAAUAUUUACUAGCUAAUUAAUUGCAUAUUUAUUUUCUACAUAUUAAUUAAAAGGAUAGAUUAGGAUUGCAAAAUUAAUUUAUAUUAGGUGAGUCAAAUACUCAAAUGGAUAGUAGUAAUCUAUUCGUCAGACUCCAAUAAACUUAGAGUUUUGCUCAAUCACUUUGAAAAUAGAAAUUUUCAAUACAAAUCCUCUUAUUAUUUUAAAAUAAUUUUAAAUUAAACUUAAUUCUUUAAGAAAUCUAAAUUAUUAAAAUAAGUCAGUUUAUAAUUUAUCAACGUUGAAAAAUAUAUAUGGAUAAUAGAAUAUUUUAUUUUCGAGACUUUCAGCUUUGAUUUUAUUUGUUAUUAUAUAUAGUGACAUGCAAGCUUUUUAAUUAUGUUUAGUUUUCUCCACUCAUGCAACAAUAUAUUGGAGGAAAAUACUGGUCGAGAUUAGGAGUCACAAUUGGUAAGGUAAAGUAGGGUAAGGUUUAAAUUCAAUUUUCUAUCGUUAAGUUGAAAUUUUUAUAUAAAUUUAAUUUUAAUUUAUUUGCGAGUUGAGAAUAUUUCAACUCUAAUUCUAUCCUAAAAUAGGUAAAAUAAUUAAUUUUAAAUUUAAAACUAUAAAAACUAAAAAAUUUUAAAUAUUUUAAAGUUACUAUAAAAAAUAAUUUAGGCAAAAAUUAGACACCAAACAAAAGACACUAUAAAAUUAGCCAUUACAUAAUUUUGAAAAAGGAAUCUAUCGACAUAGGAUGGGUCGGCAUCAAUCCAAUGAACAUGAACACACAUGCCAAGAUUCCAAGCUCUUGGUCUCCGUAAAUUUUAAGGGUAUUAUUAUAUUAUUUAAUACAGAAACUAAUUAAUACUGGAAUAAUAGAUUGUGAAACUUAAUUAGUGAAUGUAUAAUUGUGCUAAAAUUUCGGCAAAGGCAUAAUAGAGAAUAAUAUCUUUUUGAUAAUCUAGAAGAAAGAAUUGGUAAAAGCCCUUUCAGCAGCCUCGAUCUCUUCAUCAGUUCAUCAUUUGCUUAGGUGUUAGUGGCAACAUUAUUAUGUGAGAUUAAGUGCAUGUUUGGGCGUCAUUAUUUUGUUAAAAAAAGAUCUUUUUUUAAUAAAAAAAUAUUUUUUUUUAUUUUUUAACGUAUUUGGCAAAUUUCUAGUAGUAAAAAUAAAAGCACUAAUAAAAUCAAAAAAAGAUCUUUUUUGAGAAGUUGUAAUUUACUUGUUUGGGUGAGCUUUUUAAAAAAGAUCUUUUUUCGAGUUAUCUUUUUUUAAAAGAUCUUAUAGAGAAGUAAAAGUAAUUUUAUGUUUGGAUAUCUCAUAUAAAAAUGUCUUUUUAUCAAUCAAUUACGUUUGGGUAUAACAAUAUAAAAGUACUUUUUUGUUUAUUUAUUACAUGAAAAACAUCUUUUUUUUAAGGAAAAAAGAUCUUUUAAAAAAAGAUGUAAAUUACAGCUUCUCAAAAAAGAUCUUUUUUUUAUUUUACUAGUGCUUUUACUUUUACUACUAGAAAUUUGCCAAACACGUUAAAAAAUAAAAAAAGAUCUUUUUUCAUUGAAAAAAGAUCUUUUUUUAACAAAAUAAUGGCGCCCAAACAUGCACUUACAUCUUUUUUUAAAAGAUCUUUUUUUUUAAAAAAAAAGAUGUUUUUUAUGUAAUAAAUAAACAAAAAAGUACUUUUAUAUUGUUAUACCCAAACAUAAUUGAUAGAUAAAAAGAUUUUUUUACAUAAGAUAUCCAAACAUAAAAUUACUUUUACUUCUCUAUAAGAUCUUUUAAAAAAAGAUAACUCAAAAAAAGAUCUUUUCUUAAAAGCUCACCCAAACAAGCCCUAAGUUAAGGCUUAAUUUCUAGGUUAUUUACUUGGAGAUUGGUUUCCAUUUGUAGCGAUGAGCGCAGUUAGUUGCAUAAAAUGUCUAUAGAGGCUGAUUUUGGCUUUCCAUUAUUGUUAACGAUAAUAUUAAAUUAAAACUGACUAAAAUUUGUCUUAUUUAGUAUUUAUUAAUUAAUAUAAUAAUUAAUAAAUAUUAAAUAAAAUAAAAUUUUAAUAAUUUUGAUUUAUUUUUUUUAUUGUUAAAUAUUUUUGUAUUAUUAAUUGAGUUAAGCCCCACUUUGGUUUUUGAGAUUGGCGAAUUAAACUGAUUUAGUCCUCGAAAUUCCAAUUGCACUAAAUUAGUCUCCCAAAUUCAAAAAAGUGUACCAUGUUAGUCCUUCUCCCAAUUUCUGUCACCGGAGCACUAACGCCGUCAGUGACGUGACAAUUUCUUGCCACGCUGGACAGAAUGAAACGACGUCGUUUCUAAUUUAGCGCUAAACAUCCCUUUAAACGAUGUCGUUUGUAUGUAAUGGGAAAUAAAACGUUAGGCACCCUUUUUUGUUUCUACUCUUCCUCUUCUACUUCUCCAUAAACGACGCAGAGAAAAAAAAAAGCUUCUCUUCCAUGAGUGACCCAAAGUAGCAACAAGUGGCUGCAAUAGAAUUUGUCGAGACUAUUGGAACACAACGUUCGCUGUGCAAUUAUUGGAAGAGUUCGUUUGCCACUAUAGAGAUCUUCUGUGUCGUCACUAAGGUUAGUGAGGAUCAACAGUUUUUUUUUUUUCAAAUUUAAUGGAAUGCUGUGAUGGUUGUUGAUCAUGAUUAAGUGUUUUGUAUAUUGUCAGUUCACAAGUUUUAAAGCUGAUUUUGUGAUAGGAUUUUGUUUUGAUGUUUUGUGGGACUGUGUUUAGAAUUUUUUUUUAUGCUCUGUUCUAGUGGUGGAAGAAUCAGCAAGGUGUCAAGGGGUUGGUUCAAGAUUUGGUUAGUCGAAUUUCACCCUAAAUUGUUCUUGUUGAAGAAGAUAGCUUCCAUAUAUGUAACCUGUAGUCUAAGCAUGACUUAUAAUUACUUUUUGCUAUGUGCAGACUUGCUUUCUAAACUAACAAGACGAGAGAUAGCAGCAAAAAUUAAACCCGACCAAGAUAUCGAUAUAUACAUGAAGGUGAAAGGAACUAACUCCAUGCUCCACUGGAAAAUCUGCAUAGCAAAUUAUAAAGCAUUACUAUUUCUAUAGAAAUGAACUUCAGCAAUUGAUUCUAUUAUACAUUACCACCUUAGCCAUACUCUUUCCUCUUAAGUUCAGUUAAACUGUUAAUUUUAAUUGAUACACAACCUUUUAAUCUUAUUGCCUUUCUAAUAAUACUAGGCAACAGCAUCUGAAGGCCAGGAAGCAAACCAGAUGAUAACAGAAUAUAUACUAAAGCUGACAUCUUCAACUUCAAGUAGUUCUGAGUUCUGAUUUCUCACAAUAUUGCAUCAUCACAAAUGCAAAUACUGUCCUUAUGGUUUCUACUAUUUAUCUAAUUUGUGAUUUACAGAUCUUGGAUUUAGAAAUAUGUGCUGAUACUCUAAUAGGGGAUGAAAUGUUGCGCAGGAUAUCCGAAAGACAAAGAAAGCGUGUUACCACAGGUAGUGAUCAAACUCAGUCCAUCAAUUUUAUGUGUAAUUCUAUUUCAACUUUUAUGAGUGACAUGCAAAAGGUAAUAAUUUUUAUUCAUUCAUUAUAUUUAUUUCCUUCCAUGGUAAAUAGUGUAAAUAAACUUGUUGAUUUCUUGUAUUAUUUCUUGUUGGUAAUAAUCUGAAUGGAUUCUGGAUUAUAAAUAGUGUAAAUGAACUUGUUGAUUUCUUGUUGGUAAUAAUCUGAAUGGAUUCUGGAUUAUGAAUAGUGUAAAUGAACUUGUUGAUUUCUUGUUUGUAAAUAAUCUGAAUGGAUUCUGAAUGGUAAAUAGUUCAAAUGAACUUGUUGAUUGGUCUGAAUAGGACUUACCAAUAACUUGUUGAUUGCACAAUCAGCCUCAUCUUGGAUAUUAUUUUAUUGGAAUAGGCACCACCUCAAAGGCCAUCCAAGUUGCAGACCAGGAGGAAGUCCUCACCACCAUCAGGACUGGUCACCAUGGAUCCACUGCAAGGAGCAAGCUCAGCCACAUCUUCCAGACUGGCCAACUUCUUAAAAUUUGUCCCAACACCUGGUUUCAAGCCCCCGAGAAAGAAGGAAUGAAGAUGUAGUUGAAUUAGGAAUCUUUUUGUGAAUCAUACUUUUGUUUUUUGGCUUCAGUAUAUGACAGUAGACCAAUUAUUAUAUUUGAAAACAUUGUAAGCUUGAUGGCACUAUCUGUCUUUGUUAUUGGUGUAUUUUGGAUCAAGAACUAGCUUUUAAUUAGGUUGGGGAGGUGUCACUAAUAUGGCAGCUGUUUUGCUUGUUAAUACUCAUGCUGAAAACUCAUUGUUAAGUUAGCAUCUUAUUAUUAUAAUGACAAAUUGUUCUACCUUUAAUUAUGCUACUAACAGGUUCUUCUUUACAAUAUUUUUUCUAUCAUUUUGUUGGAUGACAAAAACAGAGUUCUUGGUUUAUAUUUAGAGCAAGACUACCAACUUCAAAUAAUUCACAAUGACACUUUUUCUUUUGUCUACUUUACAAUAACUCUAAAACAUAAUCAUCCUCAAACCUUAAAUACCAACAUGAAAACAGCAACAAACAUUAUAAACAGAGCCAACAAUAACAUGUACAAUCUAUGGGUCCUAACUUCAACUUCUAACUUUCCAAUUCUCUAGGCCAAAUUGACCCUCACUUCAUCAACAUUCUCGGUAGCAGUCACCCUUUCACCCCGAUGUCUUCUUCUCUAAUGUCAGCCCAGACAAACAAACCACACCACCUUUUUUCACUGACAUUGUAAUUAGGACACCCAAAGAAUGACUUGUUAGAGUUAACCUCUGUUGUGGACCACCGGAGAACAGGGCAGCAUCCACACUCACACCACUCUGAAAAACUCGAUGCUCUAUUGGUUCCUCUGGAGAUCCUUCUGCUUGACCACAUGGAACUGUGGCUCCCAUUUGCACUCAUGAUCCUAAACCCAGAAAGCUGCACAGCGAGGAAGAAGACAAAGAACUAGGAAAAGUGGGUAGAAGAAGAAGAGGAAGAAGUUAGGGCAGAAAUCUUGGUUAUAAAAGGGGACAAGGACUAAAUUGGAGCUAAUCAAAUUUGAGUGCCAUGUCAUCUAAUUGUUGCUGGGUCCAGCGUGGCAAGAAAUGGCCACGUCACUGACGGCGUUAAUGCUCCGGUGACGAAAAUUGGGAGAAGGACUAACGUGGUGCACUUUUUCAAAUCUGGAGGACUUAUUUAGUGCAAUUGGGAUCUUGAGGACUAAAUCAGUGCAACUCGCCAAUCUCAGACCAAAGUGGGGGCUUAACUCUUNNNNNNUCUACCCAAGACAUAAGUACAUUGGUAUAUAUUUGCUAUUUGAUUGUGAGACAAAAUCUUGACAGUUACAAAAAACGUAAAGAUACAUAAAUAUUUUUAUUUUAAAUUUAUAAGGUGAAAACUCAAGUGCAGUCGAUUUCACGUGAAGUUGAUAGUUGAGAGCCGUUAAAUAAAAAUUUAGUUAAAUCAGUCAAAUUAUCUAACUACUCUCAACUAUCAAUUUUACUUAAAGUCGAUUGCACCUGAAUUUCUACCAAUUUAUAAAUCCAAAAUUAUGUUUAAAUUAUGUUUAGAUUCUUCUUCUUUUUCCUUUUUUUUUCCGCUAACACUCAAAGCACAAUGAGUUUAACCUCUUUUUUUCCUUGUUAGUCAGGCUAUCACGGUCUCUCCUCCCUUGCCAUUAGGCCACCGUCGCCUCUCUUCUCGGUGUGCCCUCAGACCACUGUUGCCUCUCCUAUUUUCUUGUUACUAGCCUAUUACCAUCUCCUUUUUUGCUUCCCUUCCACUUAAAUCAAUGUCGCUUCUCCUUAUAUUAAAUUUGUUGGAUUAAAUUUGUUAUUUAGUUUUAAAUUGUUAACAUAAUUGUUUAGUUGAGAUAAUAAUUAAUUGUUAAUGGUAGUAACUUAGUUAAGAUGAUGACUGUAAAAUGAUAGUACUCUGAUUAAGAAUAAUAUUAAUAUUUUAAUAAAAUUGUGAUUUAUGUGUUUUAUUUUGUAUUUAUAUAUCAAACAAGUUAAAAAAUAUAUCUUAUUAUUUUUAUGUAUUUAUAUAUCUUAAUAUUUUCAUGUGAAGGGAUGCUCAAAACAAACGCAGCCAUACUUAAUGGCAGGUAAAGCAACUUAUAAAGCCAAAUGAGGAGUUGAUUGUGUUGAUCUUCAAUUAUAUACAAAUAAAAAUAAUACAACCUCAUUAAUUUCUUAUUGACCAUUGAUCUUUAAAUAUAAAGAAAAUAUUAGGAAACAAUAAUUUUAAUAUACAAUGUGUACAAUAGAUAACAUAGAAAAAUUAAAUUGUAAUUAAUAACUAGAUUUUUGAUUAAUUUUAAAUUUUAAAUUUUAAAAAAUUAAGAUUAACAAUUAAACCUUUAAAUACGUACAGUUACUCAACAUCUCAUUAAAAUUUCACACCCAUUGGUAUCUGACGUUGACGCCGCAGCGAUUCCCGGCCGACCGUUAUGCCGCUGCCGCGUGGUUCUGGCCGACCAAAACCGCACGUGGUCUCUCCGUUGGCGUAUCGGAUCCCUCGGCAGGUCCUUCCUUUCUUCCCCGUCGCCGCGGCCACUUUCGGUUAUCGCGCAACUAGCAACUGUUCAACACUGUACUCCCUGAAUCCUGGCAGCCGCGCUCAGAUUCAACUCGCACCCAAUGGCCUUUGUGAACGUUCCGUUACCCUUAGAAAGUAACAGAACUUCGUCGUUGACUUUCAGGAGGUCUUUUUUCCACACCUUCAUCACGAAUGCAUCACACGCGAUUCUGUCCACGCCUUUCGCCUUCAGCUCUGUUGACUGUUGGACGUGCUUCUGCAAGCAGGUUGGUGUGAAGGGCUCCUGGGACGGCAAAAAUGAUGGCUUUUUUGCCCUUCGUUAGGUCGGAAAUGAUGAUGGUUUGAACUUCGCCGGCGUCAUCUAGGUAGGAGAAGGUCGCUUCUGAAAAAUUUGAGAUAGAUCUAAACCCAACAAACAAUCAUCCAGAUAUCUAUUAAAAUAAACAUCCGACUACCUAAUGAAAUGAACAUCUAGUAUUUGUUAAUUAUAUAUACUUAAACUAACCAUCCUCGUAAGAAUUACAAUAACCAUUUGCCAACCUAUUGAACUGAACAUCUAUCAAUGGACAUGGAUGCGACUGUGGGACUACGAAAUUAAAAUUUAAAAUUUAAAAUUGGGGAAUUUAAAAUUUAAAUUUAAAAUUUAAUGAUUAUUUUAUUGUAUAUUUUGAAAAAUUUGGUAAUAGGUAGAAAAUAGUUAAAAUUUGAAAAUGAAGAUAAAAAUUUUUUGUUAUUAAAAUUUAGGAGAUUUUUUUUUUAAUCUACGGUAGACCAAUAAAUCAACUCAUUGUAUACAUUGUCUCUCAUAAAUAUAAUAGCGACGUGAGUCAUACAUGAGACAAAAACAAUAUAUAUUAGAGUAGUAGGCAACUUGCUAGAGAUUUCUUUCAGUACCACGCGGCGGCUGAGUGGCACUUCUAGUCUAGUGCUAAUUCAUGGUGACAAAUGUAUAUAUGUUUGGCACUGCCACAUUCUUGCAAUAUAAUUAUUCAAAGGCUAAAAUGAUUAUGUUUAUGGUUAUCGGUGCCAAGCUCUCCAUCAUUCUGCUUUAUUGCUUUUAAUUAGUAAUCACUUUCUAUCUAUUUCCUUCUCUAAUUUCCAGUUGCACAAACGUCCUUUCUAUCAACAUGUUUUUGCCAAUCACAUGAUCGAUCUUAUCUGUACUUAUUCAUAGUUAAAGACUCAUAUGUGACCUAAUUAUCUCACAUCCAUGCAUUAUUUAUGAUAAAAACUUCCUCUUGAAAUGUUUUGAAUACCACAAUCAUCAUUUCUCUUUUUCUUUUUCCAAAUAUGCCAAAAGUAGGGAUAAGUCAUUGUACUAAUUAAAGUUGUGUUUUACUCCUAUACAUGUGCCUUGGUUACAUUCUUCAAUGAUUUUGAAUACUUUUCAUUAUUUAAAAGAAAAUAAUUUUUUAUUGUUGAAGAAGAUACUCAAUUAUGUAAAUACAUGAAGUGAAUUUUGGUUCUGAAGAAGUUACAGGUUGGAGAUGUGUGCCUUUUGGUGCAUAUCAAGUGACAAGAAACACUUUAGGCCUUUAGUAUAUAAUUAAAUAGUGAUUAGUGGUAGAGUGACAGGGCAAUGCAAGUGGCCAUGAAUUUCCAAGCCCAAAUCAAAUCACUGUGAUAAUGUGUCUAGUUUUGUUAGUCAAGGCAAGAUUUUCAGUGGUGGUGAGUUGGUGACUGCCACAACAUACAACCACUUAAUUAGAAGGAUUUGGACUACCGCCCACUGAUUUUAUUAUUAGAACAUGUGACUGAAGUCUGAACCCUUCAUUGACACCAAAUGGCAGAGAAUGUACUAUAUACAUUAGUACCGUGUUGUUGUAGCCAAGUAUUUCCAUUUGCCAUAACAAGUUAGAACUAGAUAUAUACACAUCAAGUAUGCUUGGCUUGUGUGUGUUGAUUGCAGUCAAUGGCAUUCUUCAGGAGACAAGAUAAGAAUUUGUUCAUCGAAUCCAUUCACAAAAGAGAUGAUUAAUCAUCAGGGAAAUCAGAAAAACCAUUUGAUACUGUGCAUGGAAUUCUUGCACAGUUCAAAUUUAGAAUUCACAAUAUGUUGAUCACUACAGUAACAACAAGGAUACAGCAUCAUAUAUGUAACUUGUACUUUAUUUUCAUUCACAUCCAGCAAAGCUUAUUUAUAAUAUAUAUCUGAAUUCAUAAGUAACCUUAUACAUACUAAUUUCUUAUAACUCAACAAUUUCACUACUAUCCGUAGUAGCAGAAACAAUUUCUAAUCCCCUGGCAAGCAUGUCAGAAUGAUCAAUAGACUCAUGCUUCUCUUCCCAUACAUUGGUCAUGCUGUUGUAAACUUGAAGCAUUGUUGGCCUAUCAUCUGGAAAAGGCUGAAUACACUCACAAGCAACUUUGACAAGAGUAAACACUUCAUUUUCAAAUCCUUUCCCAAUAAGAGACUUGUCAAUUGCAUCAUAAAUAGUUGAAGGGUCAACAGAUAAGUCAGCAGUGUUAGAUAAACACACCAAUUCCUCCAAUGUUUUUCCGGUGACCAGCUCAAGAAGCACACUACCAAGAUCAAAAACAUCCUUCUUGCCAUCCUCUACAUAAAAUGCCAUGCCUAGAUCAUCAUGCUUGUUGGGGUUCAUAAACUUAGCCUCUCCAAAAUUUGAUAGUUUUGGUUCAAAACUCUCAUCAAGCAAGACACACUCAGAAGAUACAUUAAGAUGGACAACAUGCCAAUUGCAAGUGUUAUGAAGCCAAGAUAAGGCUCUAGCCAUACCAAGUGCAAUCUUGAUCCUCUGUGGCCAUGUCAAUAUCAGAGCCUCAGAUUCCACAGGAUGCAACCAUUUGGAAAGUCUUCCAUUUGAUGUAUAUUGGUACACCAGAAUCCUUUCCUUAUUAUCCACACAGAAUCCAAGCAGAGGAACUAUGUUUCUGUGUUGAAGCUUCCCAAGAAUCCUUAUCUCUAAAAGAACUUCUCUCUCAAACAGUUGAGAAUCUGAUAGCCUCUUAACAGCAAGGUGCCAACCAUUAGCUAGUACUCCCUCAUACAUUAUUCCCAUUUUUCCCACCCCUAUGGCAUUGUCAAUAGAAAAGCUUUCGGUAGCAUCAUUGAGUUCUUCUAAGUUCAUAGUGGAUGUCAAUCUUUCCACUAGUACCGCUAUCUGUGGAUUCAACUCAAAACAGUCAUGAUUUUUCUAUGAAAAGUGAUGAAGACUAAGUUCCAUUCAUUUCUUUGGAUACUAUAAAACAGGACAAGACAGAACCGAACACAUUUAUUUUGGCAACCCAUUACAUUCCAUAUUCUUAUAACAUGGCAAGAUGAGACAAAGGGGGUGGUUGAGGGAGUACCUGUUGGGUUCCAUUGUGUUGCAAGUGCAGAGGUAGCAGUUGGCGUAUGUGAUAAACAAGCGGUCGCAUCUUCCACCUUAUGAGGGAACAAACAUAUUUCAAUGUAUCUGGGUGGUUGAAUUUGGCGGGCUUCAUGUGUUUCCUAGUCCUAGAAGAAGAACGGAAGCACAUAGUGCGCACAACAACACAAACGAUGAAGGAGAAAACAAAAGCAAGGAGGAGGGCAACCUUAAAUGUUAGGUGCAGGUGCAGGUGGAGGUGCUUGUGCGAGGAGCACGGUAACAAAGAAGGCCCUCCACAAAGCCCUCUAUUAUUACCAUAGCUAACACUUCGACCACUUGGGAAGUUAGGUACUGGUCCUGACAACUCAUUAUUGGUCAAAGACAGUGUCUUAAGCCUGCGGAGACUCGCAAAUUCUGGUGGGAUUCCACCACUGAGCUUGUUGUCAUCAAGCUUGAGAUAAUUCAGGAAAGUGCAGUUAGCCAAAGAUGGUGGAAUCUCUCCGCUGAACAUGUUACUUGAGAGAUCAAGGGUGGUAGCAUAAGUGAGGAUUGAUGAUAUAUCAGAAGGGAUGUGUCCCGAUAAGUGGUUUAUAGAAAGGUCCAAGCCAGUCAAAGAUGAACAAUUCCGAAUGCCCCGCGGGAACUCCCCCUUGAGACCCAUGUUCGAUAGUUUCAGAUUGAGCACUCUAUUUUCAUCGGGAUGCCAGCAAUCAACACCAGUAAAUCUACAUAUGAAACCUUCGGUGUAGUUGCUGAAGUCCCAGGAUUGUAAGUAGUUAUCUGGAUCUUCCAAGGACUCCUUGAUGGAUUUCAAACAGAAUAUAUCUGUGAGAGUAGCAUGGCCUGGUGUGAAAACGGUGGCGAGCAAGAAACACAAGAAGGCUUGGAUGAUGUACAGGAGAAUAAUACCCAUUCUUUUAUUGAUAUCUUGGUGACUGUCUCUAUGUAAUGGAAUGUAGGAUUAAUUGAUGAGAAAGUUCUUCACAAGGGAACUCACAUGAUUACAUCAAGUUUCCUACCUCAUUGCUUGGACUUGGAGCCAAAAAGAAAAAUACACUUCUGGUUGACUCUUGAGUCUUGACCAAGAUACAUAUUCCAUCCUAGCAACGCAAACGGACCUAAAUUCGCCGGACUGACCCGCGUAACCCGCGUAACCCGUCAAAAAAGGCGGGUUGGCCUGGAAAAUUGGAAUUAUCAAAUAGUAAAAAUCUGCCUAACUCGCACCGCUUAAAUCGCGGACUUUAGCAGGCUUUGGCGAGGCGGGGCGAGCUUUCUCGCUGGACUUAGUAUUCUUUUGGCAAGAGGUAUUUUUAUAAUUUUUUUUUGCCAAAACCCAACUUACAAGAGAAUGAGGAUGAAAAUUGAAUGUUUUGGAUUAUGUUUAUUUUGUUUUAGAAACAAUAUUUAUAAUUACAAAGACUUUAAUGUUUGUGAAUAUAAAAAUUAUAAUUUGUUUAUAUUUUUAAAAAUUAUAAUAGUUAAAAGUAAAAAAAAAAAGAGAGAGAGAGGAUAUUUGGCGGGCUUAGCCCGCCGGUCCGCCAGCCCGCCGUUAGGCGGGGCGGGCUGGGAUUCUGGAACCACCUCACUAGACGGGGCGGGGCGGACCAGCCCGCCAAAGAGCAGGCUUCUCGUGGGACGGGACAGGCUUCCCCGCUUGCCACUAUAUGUUUUCUCAUUGUAUCUUCCAAUAAUGCUUCUUUCUAGCUCCAACUGUCUCAUAAGCUGAUAAGCGGCCCACAAUCGUCUUUCCUUCUAAAUUAAAAUAAAAGUGACUUUUAAUAAAUAUAAAAGGAUAAAAUAUACUUUUUAUUUCUUAAAAUUAGGCAAAAAUUUUAAAAAUAUUCUUAAGUUUUAGCUGUUGGGGGUAUAUUUCAUGUAAAUAAAAAUAUUUUAGGAACCAAGGUGCUGGAUAAGUAUUAUGGCUACACGGCUCUCAUGCAUAAGCUCCGGAUAGUAUGGCGCAUCAAAGGAGGGUUUGAUUUGUUGGACGUGGGAUUUGGAUAUUUUUUGGUUAAAUUUGAUAUUGCUGGGGAUCGUGAGAAAGUCAUUCUUGGUGGUCCGUGGUUGAUAGACGGUCACUAUGUUGCAGUAAAGCCAUGGGAUGUGGAUUUUAGGCCAUGCUAAAAAUCCUUUGGAUCAAUGCUGGUAUGGAUUCGAGUCUCGGAACUUCCAAUUUGGUGCUACCAGGAACAAGCAAUGCUGCGAAUUGCUUCUGUAAUUGGGAUUCCGGUGAAAGUAGAUUUGGCUACUAAGCUUGCAGAAAGAGGAAAAUAUGCCCGAGCUUGUGUUCAAAUUAAUCUUGAGUUGCCUGUAAUCAAACAUAUUAUAGUGGAGGGUGUGACUUAUGAAGUGGAGUACGAGAGUUUACAGUUGAUUUGUGCUACUUGUGCACGGUAUGGGCAUGAUAAAUCGUUGUGCAUGGAGAAGGAGUCCUUGGAAGGAAACAUAAAUUCCUUUGGUGAUGGAAAAAAUAAUGAAGCCCCAACACUAGUGCCACACAACAAUCAUGAGAUUCAAAAAGAGGCUGAAUCAGAAGCUCGUGAUUUGGGUGAGAAAUUAGGAGUUGUUAAAGGGAAGGAUGUGGUUACGGAAUCAUUGGCUCCUCACAUGCCUGAUGGUCUUGUUAAUGAGGCAUGCAUGGAUGAUGGAGAGGGCUGGCAACAAGUGCUGCGUAAGAAAAAAUUUACAAUGGGCCAGUCAUCAGGUUUGAAGGAUCAAGAUGGAAAGCAGCACAAGUUUGGUUCGAGAAGGGUCCAAGGCCCAAUUUGCAUGGUGAUGGAGGCAAAUCAACUGGCAUUAGGAUGGGGAAGCAAGAAAAACAUGAAAUUGCGCCAUCUCCAUCGCGCAGAACUCCUGCACGUCGUGGAAUUUCUCUACGGAAGCGUCCUCGGCCUUCCUCCUUGCAGAACUCGCCAGUUGAUAAAAAUGGUGGCACAACGGAGGAAACCUUAGUAGAUGGAAGCAUGGCAAGUGCAAUGUCAGGGUGUCCAAAGGUGGCAAUUAUUGAGGAUCAGAGUGUGCCAGUACCGCAGGACAAACCACCUAUUGAGGUUGGUGAUUCUGUUUAGAGUUUAUGUUCUUAUUUAUUCUGUCCCUAUUAUUUAUGGAUAGUUUAAAUAUGAUUGUUUGGAAUAUUAGGGGUGCUUCUAAUAAGUUAGCCCGGGUGCAUUGUAAGGAACUUGUUAGGAAAUUUAGAUCUGUUUUCUUUAUUGUGGUUGAAACUCACUCCCCUUUUCAGCAUUUAAAAUUAUUUUGGGAAAGGUUGGGGUAUCACUCUGUUGGUAUAGUAGAGGCACAGGGGCACAAGGGAGGUAUUUGGUUUCUAUCCUCUAUGAAGGGUGUUUGUUGUAAGUUCAUUAAUGCUUUUGAUCAGGGUGUUACUGUUGAGGUUCACUUUGAUAAUUUAAUUUGGAGGUGUAGUGGUAUUUAUAGUAGUCCUCAAUUUAAUAAAAGGGGAAAGGUACACUGGCCUUUAAGAUUGAUCUGGAGAAAGCUUAUGACAGAGUUGACUGGAGGUUUUUAGCUCAUACCCUUAAGAGCUUUGGUUUUCCUAUUCCUACACUUAAUUUGAUUAUGAAUUGUGUCACUGCUUCUUCCUUAUCUAUUCUUUGGAAUGGGAGUCGUCUGAAUGGCUUUACUCCUAGCCGAGGUCUUAGACAAGGAGACCCUAUGUCACCCUAUCUUUUUGUAUUGUGUAUGGAGCGACUGGCAUGCUUUAUUAGUCAUCAGGUUGAUUUGGGCUUGUGGGAGCCGGUUGCUAUUUCUAGAGGGGGACCAAGAAUAUCCUAUUUAAUGUUUGCGGAUGACUUGCUUCUAUUCUGUAAAGCUACAAAGAGACAAGUGCAAAAUGUGAUGUUGGUUUUAGAGACUUUUUGCAAAGCAUCUGAGAUGAAGAUUAAUGUGGAGAAGUCUAAAGCACUUUACUCCAAGAAUGUCUCUGCAACAAGGAAAGAGGUUUUCACUGGGGUAUCCUCUAUCAGAUUUGUCCAAGAUUUGGGCAAGUAUCUUGGAGUUACCCUUAGCCAUUCUAGGGUGACUCGUUCAGCUUUCAAUGGUGUCCUGGAUAAGAUUCGGAGUAGGCUAGCAAGCUGGAAAGGGAGUUUACUCAAUCGGGCUGGUAGACUCUGCUUGGUUAAUUCUGUUGCCGCUGCUAUUCCCACGUACCAGAUGCAGGUCUCUAUUUUUCCCAAAGGAAUCAUUAGUAAAUUGGAGUCUAUGAUGAGGAAUUUUCUUUGGAAAGGACAAGUUGAUGGAAGAGGAUUGAAUCUUGUUAGUUGGAAGGUACUGGUUACUCCAAAAAAAUAUGGAGGUUUGGGGAUUAGAGAUCCUUAUUGUGUAAAUAUUGCUCUUCUUGGGAAGCUAGUUUGGAUUUUUUUCUAGCAGCCAAACAAGCUAUGGGUCCAAUUGUUGGAUGCCAAAUACCGAUCAUCUCUAUAUGACUGUUUUAGUUAUCCUAAGAACAAGGACUCUCCCAUUUGGAGGUGUCUUUGCAAGGCUUGGAAAGUGUUGAAGGAUGGGUUUGCUUGGUGUAUUGGAGAUUUGAACCAGAAUUUUUUGUUUUCUAGCUGGAGGAGAGAAGGACGGUUAUCUAAUGAGAUGGAUUAUGUCCACAUUUCUGAUUCGAAUCUCCGGAUACAGGAUAUUUGGUCGGUUGGUAGGUGGCAUUUGGAUACUCUUUAUUCUCCUUUAUCUCAAAAUCUGAAAGAUAAUAUUCUCUCUUACAAUCCAGAUGAACAAGCAGGUCCGGAAGUGGGUUGGUAUUGGAGUGGGUCUGCUGCCAAAGUCUCUGACUCACGCAAUGGUUACUUGUGGUUGUGUAAGCAGCUGUUUGGUUGGGAGGAGAGGGAGAAUUGGCUUUGGCUUUGGCGUCAGCUUGUUCCGGAAAAGCAUAAGUUUUUGGCUUGGUUGUGUCUUAAGGAGGCUCUUCCUACUGCAACUUUUCGCUUUAGAAGAGGGAUGUCGUCAUCGGAUAGAUGUCCAAGAUGUCUUUCUAGCCAGGAAUCGGUUAUACAUUGUAUUCGGGAUUGUCCAAAAGCUCAGCUUGUCUGGCAAAGGUUGGAUAUUCCUUGUCAUCCUUUGGAUUUGAAGAACUGGUUCUUGUAUCAUAGCAGAGAGCACCCGUUUAAGUUCUUUUCGGGACUUUGGUGGAUAUGGCGAGCAAGGAAUAACGACAUCUUUAAUCCCAUGAAACUUGGCCUCCGGAAAAAGUCAUUUGUCUGACAUUAACUUCAGAAAAGGAGCUUAGAAAUAUUUUUGAAUUACAACGUAUGUCCCUUCCCUCUACUCUAAAUGGUUUUUGGAAUCCCCAUCCAUUGGUACUUUUAAGAUUAAUUGUGAUGCUAGUUAUUUUGGUUCGGGUAAUAGUGUUGGUUUUGCUUGUGUUAUUAGAGAUUGUAAUGGGAGCUGGCAAAGGGGGUGUUUGGGAAUGAUUGAGAGUAAUAGUAUUCUUCAAGGAGAAUUGUUUGCUAUUUGGAGAGGAUAUCUCUUAGCUUGGGAUGUGGGUCAACGAGAUGUUAUUUGUGAGACGGAUUGUAUGGAAGCAUUUAAUCUUGUUACUCAAGAUGGUUUUGGGUUUAUUGAUCCACUGGUGCUCAAAAUAAGAGAUAUCAUGCAUUGGAAUUGGCGUGUUGACUUUCGUUUGAUUAUGAGAGAUGCAAACACGGUGGCAGAUACUAUGGCAAAGAUGGCGAUGAAGUUACAACUUUCGCAUGUGGAGCUUCUUUCACCUUAUGAGGAGUUUAAGAGUAGUCUUAAACGGGACUGUCCCUCUAUUUAAGCAGUUCCUUGUUUUGUUUCUUUUGUUUUUCUUUGUUUAAUUUAUUUCAGUCACCGAAAAAAAUGCUAUAGAUUUCAAUAAUGUUUUGUAAACAACUCAAAUCAAACAAUUAUGUAGACAACUAUAUACAUAUAUAAGAGAGAGAGAAACAUGUAUGUAUAAAUAUAGUAGAACAGUAGAGAUGUGUAUCGAGUCAGAGAGAUAUCUCUCUCCUUUUUUAUUAGUUGUUGAUAAGAAAUGUUAUUAUAGUAUUUCCCUAUAAUUUUUCUAAAAAAUAAACAAAUAAUGCAUAUGCGUAAAAAUAAUUGCACUUCACUUUAGAUUGGCUUUUCACUUGAUUUUAUUCGUCGUUUUUGAUAAAUUAAUAAACAUAUAUGUCAAUGUACCAACUACCAAGUGCUCCAUAAUUUGAAAUUAAUUAAUUUCAACUAAUGAAAAUGAAAAUAAAUCAUAUUAUUGUACUGCGCGUAUCAUUACAAACAUAGACACAUAUCCAAGCGUUAUAUAGCUAGAGAAUUUGGUUUUUAUCCCUAGAUGGUAACAGUACUAAACAGAAGAGUAAGAGGAACAGUGAAAGUAAUGUUUAUUAUAGAGAUGACAAGCUAAGGGGUAUUAAUUUGUGUGUGUAGUAGACUAGUAGUAACUAUUUAGUACAUGCUUGUGUUGAUCCAAUCCUCUCUACUUUAUUAUAAGAAAGUAAAAAGUAGAAAUAUGUAUUAUUGAUGUAAUUUUUUUCUAAAUUAUUAUUUUAUUAUUGUGGAUUAAAAAUUAUAUUAAAGUUAUGGUAAAUUAUUAUUGAAAUAUUCAUAUAAGUGAAAAACAUCCUAAGCCAAUUAAUAGUGAGAUUUAAACAUACAAAUUGGGCAGAGUUGAGAAAGUGGAGGGAACACUAGAGAGAGAGAUCCUGAAUGUGAUGGUGCUAUGCCUUCUGAGUUCACUGGUGGAGUAUUGCAAGAUCGAGAACAAGUUUUACAGCAAAUGGGGGCCAAAAUAAAAUAAAUAUUAUAUUAUAGGAAACAUUUCAAGUGCACCGGGGAGUACCGGUGCACCAGUUGUUUUAACUGUUGAUUUCAAUUAAUAUAUAUUAUAUAUAUUUUUUAUAAUUCAGAUCAACGGUUAAAACAACUGGAGCACUGAUACUCCUGGUGUACUUGAAAUGUUUCCUAUAUUAUAUAUUAUAUAUAUACACAAUACGACAACUAUGGUUAUAAUUCAACAAAUUCAUCACGGUCAGUAGCAGAAAAACUCUCUGAUCGCGUGGAAGUGUUAGAAUCACCGCAAAGUUCAUGUCCCUCUUCCCAUAGACUGCUCAUUUUGUUGUAGACUUGAACCAUUGUUGGUCUUUGUUCUGGAAAAGGCUGAACACACUCGCAAGCAAUCUUGAUGAGCAUAAACGCUUCACUUUCAAACCCUUCACCAAUAAUAAACUUAUCAAUUGCACUAUAAAAACUUGAAGGAUUAGGAGAUAGAUUAGCAUUGUUACAUGAAUUCUCCACCAAUUCCUCAUAUAAUUUUCCCGUGACCAACUCAAAAAUUACAUUACCAAAAUCAUAAACAUCCUUCUUCCCAUCCUUGAUAUAAAACGACAUGCCUAGACUCUCAUGGUUGUUGGGGUUCAAAAACUUGGCAUCUCCAAAAUUGGAUAACUUGGGUUCAAAAUUCUUAUCUAGCAAGAUACUCCGUGAACAAAUAUUCAAGUGCACCACAUGCAGAUUGCAUAAAUGAUGGAGCCAAGAUAAGGCUCUAGCCACACCUAGUGCAAUGUUAAUCCUCUGUGGCCAUGUCAAUAUCAUAGCCUCAGUUUCCAAAGGGUGCAACCAUUUCGAGAGUCUUCCAUUUGAGAAAUACGGGUACACCAGAAUCCUUUCAUCGUUAUCAAUGCAGAACCCAAGCAGGGGAACUAUGUUUCUGUGUCGGAGCUUACCUAGAAUCCUUAUUUCUAUAAGAACUUGUCUCCCAAAUUGUUGAGAAUCAGUUAGUUUCUUAAUGGCUAGGUGCCAACCGUUAGCCAAUGUUCCCUUGUACAUUAUUCCCAUCUUUCCAAACCCAAUUGCAUUGUUUAUAGAAAAUCCAUCUUUUGCAUCAUUUAGUUCUUCAAACUUCAUAGUGGAUGUUAAUCUUUCCAGUAGUAGAGCUAUCUGUGAAUUCUGUUAGGAUUUGGUUGAAUUAGUCCCACAUUGCUCAGGAUAGCAAAUGGAGUGGGUGGCCUAGGCUAUAAAUAUGAGGCUAAGUUCUCCAUUUGUUUUUGCACCAGUCAGAAACACUUUAAGCUUGUAUCUGAUUUUUCUUUUUCUCUGUACUCUUUGAUUAGAGAGUGUUGUGAGGUGUAGUUAGGUAUUUGCUUUGAGAGAGUGUGGGUGUACUGGGGUGCCGGUGAGAGAAAGAAGUCUAUGUGUUGUAACAAUUUUCACAUAGUGAUAUUCUCUGGUUGUCAUUUGACAACGGCCGUGGUUUUUUCUCCGGUAAUUGGAGUUUCCACGUUAAAUUCUUGUGUUGUGAUUGUGUCUAUUUUAUUUCUUUGUCAAAGAUGUUUUCUCAAGGGGGAAUGGUGUUUUAUUCCCAACAAGUGGUAUCAGAGCUUCGGUUCGGUGGGAUUUAUUCUUAGUAUGCUCUGUAGUUGCAGUCUAGUCUGACCUUCCACAUCAGAAAAGAAUUUUGUCCUGUGGCUUGAGGUUGAUCUUUGGUUGCUGUUGUUGUUGCUGGAAGGCAGUGUGAUACUGUGAGAGUGCAAUUUGGAAAGGUUCUGGCUAAGGAAAGACCUGGUAUUUAAGUGUGUCCAUUGUGACCCACCUCUCUUUCCUGGGGACCCUUCCUAGUGCACGGUCUACAGUUGAGUUAUACUAUUCCAGUAUACGGUUGCAACAAUGUCAGGAUAUUCAAGUGCUGUGAAGCUUGAAAUAGAGAAAUUUGAUGGAAGAAUCAAUUUUGGCUUGUGGCAAAUACAAGUCAAGGAUGUGUUGAUACAAUCAGGUUUGCACAAGGCGUUGAAGGAGAAGAUCUCUGGUUGCUCUCUCUAUGAGAGAAGAUGAUGUUCUCUAGAAGACAAGAAGUAUCCUCAUGGUAUUACCGCACUGCCAUGGAUAAGGAUGAGUUGUGGCAAUCGGGUCCACAAUUGCACACGGGCAUUGGUUGGCGUUGAGAUGCAAGAUGUGUGGCGGAGUUAGGUCGAUGGCUGAAGAACUUCCAGGAAAAGCCAGUUUGGAAGUUGCACCAUGAAUUUUCAGCAAGGUUCCGAUCUGUACCAAGGCGAAAUUCUUGGAGUGGUCUAAUUCCAAGUGAGUAUACUUUCAUGGUGGAGUAUGAUAGUUCUCUGUCUAAACUAUGAUUGUCGGUAUAGACAAUGACAGCAAAGAAUUGUCGGUGUUGACAAUGGAACCUGAAGAUGUGUGACUAUUUCAAUCAAGGUGGAGAUUGUUAGGAUUUGGUUGAAUUAGUCCCACAUUGCUCAGGAUAGCAAAUGGAGUGGGUGGCCUAGGCUAUAAAUAUGAGGCUAAGUUCUCCAUUUGUUUUUGCACCAGUCAGAAACACUUUAAGCUUGUAUCUGAUUUUUCUUUUCCUCUGUACUCUUUGAUUAGAGAGUGUUGUGAGGUGUAGUUAGGUAUUUGCUUUGAGAGAGUGUGGGUGUACUGGGGUGCCGGUGAGAGAAAGAAGUCUAUGUGUUGUAACAAUUUUCACAUAGUGAUAUUCUCUGGUUGUCAUUUGACAACGGCCGUGGUUUUUUCUCCGGUAAUUGGAGUUUCCACGUUAAAUUCUUGUGUUGUGAUUGUGUCUAUUUUAUUUCUCUGUCAAAGAUGUUUUCUCAAGGGGGAAUGGUGUUUUAUUCCCAACAAGAUUCAACUCACAACUAUCAAUGAAAUUAUCUAGAUAAUAAAGCUAUAGAAAUUCACUUAAUGUUUGCAUUCAUGAAAUGUAAUGAAAAUAUAGUAGUCUAGUAUAUCUCUAAAUUCAACCGAUAGAUCUCAAGUCAUUUGGUUUGAGUUGAUUCAGUUUAUUACUAAUCUUAAUGUUUGGGUCAGUCAAGCAGCAUCAAUAAUGGGUGUGAUCGAAUCAAUAUACAAGUAAAUUAAGAUCAAAAGGCAAAAUAGAAAAAGCAACAUUAACAAUCUUCGCCUCAAGUGUGAACUAACACAUCGAGCACAUCAACUCCCCCUCUUCUUGAAUAUUCCUUUAAAAGAGAACAUAAAAUGAUAAGAUACCACAUCCAAUUCAAAACCUUAAAAUACUAAGCUAAUAGGUCUCUCAUCUUAUAAACUUCUCACUCUUCUUUACUUUCUUCAAUGUUAAACUAAUUUCAUACACUUUUCACACUUGCAGCAUUAACAAGGCUGCACUCAUGUAGGAAACUAACAUGAUAAAUGUAUAAGUAGCUAAUUUCAUUAACAUGAAGUCCCAGCUAGCUAAGAAAUUAUAUGGAUCUUCCAAGGAAUCCUUGAUGGAUUUUAAACAGAAUAUAUCUGUUUCAGUAGCAUGAAUGCAGAGCAAGAUUUGGGUGAAGAUGAGAAUAGUAAUAGUAAUUCCCAUUCUUGUUUUAGGACUCAUACUUCCUUGCUUCAUUUUGAAGAUUUCCAAUGGUCAUAUUUAGCUGUAACGUAACAAGAAGUGAAUUAGUGAAGAUUUCAUCUUGGUACUCUUUCUUCCUCACAACUACUAUAUUUUAUUAUUUUAUGAGUUUCCGCAUUCUGACUCUUGACUCUUCUUGGUAUACUUUAUCCCAUUCAUUUUUUAGUAAAUUAAGGAAAUAUCAAAUAUUGGAAGGUGGGGUGAAUUAUCGGCGGUGGAGCUUUCGGUCAACACGCAGGGGGCGUGGUGUCUCUGCUGUCAGCAACACGCCGGGGGCAUAGUGACGCGGCGUGCAAGGAUCUGGCAGCACGCAGGGGCGUGGUGGAGCUGGCGGCGCGGAGUCUUGAGGUGCCUGCACCACGGGAGGCGUGUUGCAGUUGCUGCCAUGCAGGGGACAGAUCUCACCCUAAUAAACAGCAAGUGGCCUAAUGUUGCUCUAUAUAAAGAGCCUCUCCCAACUGCAAUGUAUACAAAGUGUGUUAGUGAGAGAAGAAAAUCAUUAGUGCAUUACACCAGAAACAGAGGAAAGGGGGGUUGUGAUUUAACUAAAAGGGGAAGGGUGUUGCUGCUCCACAAGGAGAAGGGGUGAAAAAAUAGGCAGAAAAAAAAAUAUUAUUUUGUAUUUAUUUUAAAAAAUGGUUCGUAAUUAUAGUGCUUUGAAAGAACAUAUUAUAAAUUAUUUGAAUUAUCCAAUUUAUAUAAGUUGUUAAGUUAUAUUUUUAUUGUGUAUUUAAAUUUAAAUUUCUGUUAUUUUUUGUUAUUUAACAUGUUAAAAUAUAAAUUUUUUGUUAAUUUUGAAUUAAUUUUAUGUUAUAAAAAUACUAAAAUAAAAUAUACAUUAUAUUAUAUAAUAUACUAAAAAUCUAUAUAAAUGUUAAAGUAAUAAAUAAAUAUUAGAAAAAUAUAUACGUUGUUAUUAAUAAUAUUAGAGAAAUAUAUGCUUUUGAUGCACGAAAAAAAAUUAUUUUAACUAUGGUAAUGCACUGCACGUUAAUUAUUUUAACAAAUAAAAUAUUAAAAUAAAUAAAUAUAUAAAUAAUAUUAUUAAAUGAAGUGAUCACAUACAAAUAGAUAUGCUAAUAUUUGUUUAUCAAUAAAUAUAUUUUUGUUGAUGCAGCUUAACAGAAAUUUAUUGGUGCGUAAACUGGAUCCGCCACAGAGUUGAAAUCCGAGAGUCGAAAACUACUUACGCGCCACGGGAUUCUACCACUUAUCUAGGAUUGGGAUGAUAAGAGGAUUUCACUCAUUGUUAGCUGCCCUGGUUGAAAGGUGGAGGCCGGAGACUCACACUUUGUACAAAAAUAUUUUGUGGUUCUCAUCUUGUGCAACAGCGACCAGAAGUGUACCUUUGUACUUUCCAUAUAGGUGUGUUCCGUCAACCUGAACUAGGGGUUUGCAAUGCCUAAAUGCCCUAAUGCAUGGAUUGAAACUCCAAAAUACGCGAUAAAGUAUUUUUACCCCUUGCGCCUCUUCAUUCCCAUUGUACAGUGGGCGUGUUUCUAUCUGGACAACUGACCCAGGCAUCUUCUGAACUAUAACCGAGAGCCACCACGGCAAGGCUUGGAAACUCUCCUCCCAAUCACCGAAAACUUUCGCUAUAGACUUCUGCUUUGCCAACCAAGCCUUUCGGUAACUGAUGGUAUAGUUGAACCUUGACUGGACUUCGCCUAUUAUAGAUUUUACCUUGAUGGACGGGUCAGUCUCGACCAAUGGCCUUAUAGCCUCAGCAACUGUAUCCGAGUCCAACUUGGAAUGAUCCUGUGAAAUCACUCCCAUUGUGCACGUGUGCCUACCGUUGUAUCUGCAUAUCUCCCAACAACCUUUUUUUCCGUAUCAAGAUGGCUUGGAUAAGCCAGUCGCACCCACGCCCAUACAUCUUGCAUUUUGCAUAGAACGUCUGUGGCUCAGACUCAUACACGUCGUAGUCAACUCCUCUAGCGAUAGUGUAACUUCUAAUUGCUGCCACGACCGACUUUCUAGAACUGUAUUCCAUUCCAAUCCAAAACUCUCCGUCCUCGGGAUCAGCAACGCCUACAGAAAGUGCCCAUCAUCGUUUAUUAAUCAAUCUAAAGUAUAGAUUAAAGAAAACAUAUUAUUCGGUCAUCACGUACCUAUGUUUGAAUAUUCCGGAAACUCCGGUGCAUGCAUGGCGUCGAGAUCCAACUCACGCAUAAAAUGUGGCACGUUCAUCGGUUGACUGAUUGAGGGCUGAACCACUACAUUAUCCGCUGCUGUCUCAACUCCCACAUCACCAUCCUCGUCUUCGUCGCCGGCUUCAUAAGUGGCUUCGAAGUCCUCUUUGCUGUCACUAUUCAUUCCCUCGUACAUUGUAGCUCUAUCAUCCUCCACCUCUAAAUCAUUUUGAAUCCCUUCCGCCUCUAUGGUUUCAAACUCAACAUACAGCUCAAUCUGUGGCUGUCGCAUCUGAGUCUGCUGGUGAAUUUGAAACAUAUUAUGCAUAGUCACUUCGUCAGUGAUUGGCAUGGUAUCAAACUGUAUUAGACCACCAAAAACUACAACCGAAUUCCGGUACAGAAUUCUGCUCACUCUCAUUAACGUACCGUUCUCCAUGCUUUGACAGAGACCGUUCUGAAGUUCCAUAAACGUCAUGGUGCAUGGAACUACAAACGAAAACGGAUUCUGGCACACAAACCUCACUCCCUCAUGAGUAUUACGUAUUAUCUCACCGUCGCGAUACACUACCAAGUUUGCGGUACCUUCCAUUACACCAGAAACACUUUCAAAGAACACUCAUACGCUUCCUCAGAAUGAAAAUGGACCCGAACACUGCCUUAUAUAGAGAGUAGCAUUCACCAUGCCCCCCACGUUUUGAUUGCCUCAGGCCAAUCACGUAUUGCCACGUGUCAGGAUGCCCCUGCGUGUUGACUCAGCACACCCCCACGUGAUGCCUGCGUGUACCACUCAAGCUCCGCCAUGUCAUCAUCACGCCCCCACAUGCUACGUCAGCACGCUCCCACGUAAUGCCCCCGUGUACCACUCAAGUUCCGUUACGUCAUCAUCACGCCCCACGUGUAGCAGUCAACACGCUCCCUGCGUGUUGAUCAUGCACCCCAGACGUCCACCAUUGGAUAAAAUACAAUGUUCUUCCAUUUCUGGCCAAAUCACCACUUUCCUUCUCAUAUUUAAAUUCUUGAGCCAUUUGAAAAAUUUAUUUGUGAAUUUACUCUUUAUAUUAUAUGGUACCUAAUCCUUUCGUCAAACUGGUUGAUUUGUCUCCAGUAGACUUGAAGUACAGAAGUAGCAUGCAUCUAUUCAAUUGAUAAUUUAUGACAGGAGGCAGAAUAAGUCCACACAUGUGAAACUCAUAUUCAUUGUACAUGCAGUGUACCAUCUCUUGCGUAAUUUCAUAUUUAAUUUAGCUAACAGAACAGAAAAUGACGUGACAGUGUGCGAAAAAUUCAGUGCUCUUGUCUCAUAGAUAAAACAUUAAAGAAAGACUAGAGAGAUUUUAGAAUGCAUGUAAUUUGUGUCUCUUUUAUUUUUUUACUUUAAAUUUAUAAAAUAAAAAAUAAAAAACAAAUCAAAAUAUCAAAUACACAAUUAAAAAAGACAAUACAUUUGGGCCGGACAUUCUAGCUAAACAAUUUCCUCUUUUGUGGUCUAAGGCGAAAUUUGACUUUUUAGUUUUUGGUCAACAAACCAAAUUCGUCUAUAUAUACAAGAAACAUCCAAAUGGAUUGGAUUGGAGAUCAAAUAAUAAUGAAGCUUUACAAAGCAAAUCUCGACCUCCUCCUUUUCCCAAUCAAAGCCCAAUAUUGCUUGUCCAAAAAAGAGCUAACUGAUGAUGUUUAUGUUUUUGGCUAUGGAUCUACGAUUAUUGAAAUACAUCAAGUGACAAGUCCAAAAAAAAAAAAAAGUAAUACAUUCAGUGAGGGCGCUCCAAUCCAUCUAACCUAAAAAAACACAGAAAUAAAAAUAUUAAAAGGAAGGUGAGCAACAUAUGGGAUUUUAUCUUUACUUAUUUCAUAUCAAUUAUUUUUAAUUUUAAAAAUUUAAUUUUAAUGUACUAUCACUUAUAAAAUAUCUUAUACAGUCGUUCAAAUAUAUUAGUUCUUUUGAAUAACUAUUCACGUAAUUAACAUAAAAAGUAGUUACGUAAUUAAAUACAUGUGUAAAAUUGUUUUAUAUUAACAGUGUAUUAAAAUGAAUUUCUUAAUUUUAAAAUUUAGAUGUUCAAAAAUAAGAUAAUAAUAAAAUAAUAAAAUAAUAAAUUAAAAUAAAAAAUUAAUUACCAUUAAUUUUAUAACUUCGAUUAUAUAUGAGUUUCGCUAUAUUGGUUUAAAAUUGAUUACGAUACUUUCUCACUUUAUCAAUUAUUCUCUCACUUUAGAAGAUUUUGAACCUUAAUUUUAAGACUAAAAAUAAAAGGUGUAUUAGAAUAUAAGACACAAAAUUAAAGUGAUACAUAUAGUAUUUUUUUCGGUACAAUAUAAUUGUAAUUUUAUUAAAUUAACUCAGAGUUUUACAGUUUCAUUCAUAUUAAAACUAACCAUCAAUAUUANNNNNNNNNNNNNNNNNNNGAUAAUUAAUAUUGUUGUAAUUGAUAUAUAUAUAUAAAAGGUUGACAAAACACAACGUGUCUUGACUCUGGAUAUGUUGAGACAGAUCGAUGGUACUAUAUAUAAUCUGUGAAUUAAAAUUGUAGCAUUGACGACUAGGAAAAAUGUUAGAUGAUUAAUAACUUUAUUUCUUUUCUAUAUAUAUUUGAAUUAAUGCUAACAAAAUUUCUAUUUUAUAUUACUAAAAGUGUAGUGACAUGAAUAAAAUGCAUCUGUUGUCUAAGCUUUAGAAAGUGCUUAUUGAAAUGAAGAGAAUGGUAGAAGCGAAGCAGCAGCAAGUAUAAAAAAAGAAAUCCAUUAUUAAUAAUAGAUGGAGCAAGCAAGGUAGGUAGGAAGAGAAGAAAGACGAAGCAGGAAGUAAAGUAUUAAAAGAAAAGGAUGAUUACAUGAGUAUAAGCAGCAAAGAGUAGCGGCAACCACUAUCCUAAGCCACAUUUUAUUUAACAUUUGAAAUCACCGUAACCAUCACCAUAUACUAACAAGCAUACAUGAUACAUGCAUUUAGUUGGCAGUUGGAGGCCAGUGGCCGUGAUGAGGUGGGUGUGGCUUGUAUGGGUGUGGAUGUGGUUUGUAGUAACCGUCAGUCUGCUCAUUCUCUGCCGGAGGGUGGUGACCGCCGUGUCCACCACCUCCAUACGGUGGCUUGUAAGGACGAGGCUGAUGGUGUUGUGGUGGCUUGUAGUACCCAUUAACCUCAACCUUCUCUACUUGCUCCUCCUGAUGGGGUGGCUUUCCAUAGGGUGGCUUCUCGUGUGGUGGUUUUUCAUAUGGUGGCUUCUCAUGUGGUGGCUUCUCAAAGGGUGGCUUCUCGUGUGGUGGUUUCUCGAAUGGUGGCUUAUGGUAUGGAGGCUUCUCAUAGGGUGGCUUUUGGAAUGGAGGCUUGUCGUGAAUAGGUUUAGGGUAUUCAUCAGCAAUGGAGACUGCUGC
rnacentral:lncRNA from 1 species